UUGAAAAAUGAAGCGCCAGAACCGCAGAUAGGGCGGUUGACGAGGUAGAAGUGAUCGAAUUUUUCGGCGGAUGCUUCUCGCCCAUUCGUUCAGGGACGCAGGUCUUUCUACAAAUAGGAGAAGGUAAUUCUUCUGACAAAGGGAAAGGCAACGGACGAA
rnacentral:ncRNA from 2 species